rnacentral:rRNA from 1 species
UACGGAGGGUGCGAGCGUUGUCCGGAAUCACUGGGCGUAAAGGGCGCGUAGGUGGCGCGGGAAGUCAACGGUGAAAGUUCAGGGCUCAACCCUGAAUCGGCCGUCGAUACUCCCGGGCUUGAGCACUGUAGAGGCAGAUGGAAUUCCGGGUGUAGCGGUGGAAUGCGUAGAGAUCCGGAAGAACACCGGUGGCGAAGGCGGUCUGCUGGGCAGUUGCUGACACUGAUGCGCGAAAGCGUGGGGAGCAAACAGG